rnacentral:rRNA from 1 species
GCUCAGGAUGAACGCUGGCGGCGUGCUUAACACAUGCAAGUCGAACGGUGAACACGGAGCUUGCUCUGUGGGAUCAGUGGCGAACGGGUGAGUAACACGUGAGCAACCUGCCCCUGACUCUGGGAUAAGCGCUGGAAACGGCGUCUAAUACUGGAUAUGUGACGUGACCGCAUGGUCUGCGUUUGGAAAGAUUUUUCGGUUGGGGAGGGGCUCGCGGCCUAUCAGCUUGUUGGUGAGGUAAUGGCUCACCAAGGCGUCGACGGGUAGCCGGCCUGAGAGGGUGACCGGCCACACUGGGACUGAGACACGGCCCAGACUCCUACGGGAGGCAGCAGUGGGGAAUAUUGCACAAUGGGCGAAAGCCUGAUGCAGCAACGCCGCGUGAGGGAUGACGGCCUUCGGGUUGUAAACCUCUUUUAGCAGGGAAGAAGCGAAAGUGACGGUACCUGCAGAAAAAGCGCCGGCUAACUACGUGCCAGCAGCCGCGGUAAUACGUAGGGCGCAAGCGUUAUCCGGAAUUAUUGGGCGUAAAGAGCUCGUAGGCGGUUUGUCGCGUCUGCUGUGAAAUCCCGAGGCUCAACCUCGGGCCUGCAGUGGGUACGGGCAGACUAGAGUGCGGUAGGGGAGAUUGGAAUUCCUGGUGUAGCGGUGGAAUGCGCAGAUAUCAGGAGGAACACCGAUGGCGAAGGCAGAUCUCUGGGCCGUAACUGACGCUGAGGAGCGAAAGGGUGGGGAGCAAACAGGCUUAGAUACCCUGGUAGUCCACCCCGUAAACGUUGGGAACUAGUUGUGGGGUCCAUUCCACGGAUUCCGUGACGCAGCUAACGCAUUAAGUUCCCCGCCUGGGGAGUACGGCCGCAAGGCUAAAACUCAAAGGAAUUGACGGGGACCCGCACAAGCGGCGGAGCAUGCGGAUUAAUUCGAUGCAACGCGAAGAACCUUACCAAGGCUUGACAUAUACGAGAACGGGCCAGAAAUGGUCAACUC